GGAGGGCAAGUCUGGUGCCAGCAGCCGCGGUAAUUCCAGCUCCAAUAGCGUAUAUUAAAGUUGUUGCAGUUAAAAAGCUCGUAGUUGAUUUUCUGUUAAUUUUUAUGUAUAAUAUUGCGAUAUUUACAUAAUAUUAACAUAAUUCACAUUACUUUACAGUAUGUGGAAUUUUACUUUGAGAAAAUUAGAGUGCUUAAAGCAGGCUAUUGCCUUGAAUACUCCAGCAUGGAAUAAUAUUAAGGAUUUUUAUUCUUCUUAUUGGUUCUAGAAUAAAAAUAAUGAUUAAUAGGAACAGUUGGGGGCAUUUGUAUUUAACAGUUAGAGGUGAAAUUCUUAGAUUUGUUAAAGACAAACUACUGCGAAAGCAUUUGCCAAGGAUGUUUUCAUUAAUCAAGAACGAAAGUUAGGGGAUCGAAGACGAUCAGAUACCGUCGUAGUCUUAACCAUAAACUAUGCCAACUAGAGAUUGGAGGUUGUUCCUUACUCCUUCAGCACCUUAAU
rnacentral:rRNA from 1 species